UGCGCAUCACCUCUUGCUUGUCUAGAUCAGCCCGGACGUUGGCAUGUGUAGCGUAUUUUGUCGGGUUUCGAGAUCAAGAAUCGAUGUCCCUUUGUUGGUUGGUUUUCCGAGAAUCCUUGACCCUUGAUUACGUUGGCCACCCGGCAUCUUUUGUCGGGUUCCGAGAUCAAGAAUCGAUGUCCCUUUGUUGGUUGGUUUUCCGAGAAUCCUUGACCCUUGAUUACGUUGGCCACCCAGCAUCUUUUGUCGGGUUCCGAGAUCAAGAAUCGAUGUCCCUUUGUUGGUUGGUUUUCCGAGAAUCCUUGUCCCUUGAUUACGUUGGCCACCCGGGAAAAUGCGCCUCACUUGCUAGCACGUCUAGAUCAGCCAGGGCGUAGGCAUGUGUAUCGUAUUUUGUCGGGUUUCGAGAUCAAGAAUCGAUGUCCCUUUGUUGGUUGGUUUUCCGAGAAUCCUUGACCCUUGAUUUGUUACUUUCGCAUCGUUCGGUGCAUUCUGGGGGAUGUUUUGGCUUUUGGUGGCUUACUUGGCCUUUUGGCUGGGUUUGUUGCUAUUGGUCGGGCGGCUUUCGGGAAUGUCGACCGUGGAGGUGCAUGAGUGGUGUUUGGUUUGUUACGUGUGGAUGGCUGUUUGCUUGCGCAACAACGUUCACGCUGCAUACCUCUUCAGUUUUGCGGCAAGGCUUGGUUUCGCUUGUGCAUAUUGUGGGUUUCCUGUGUUGCAUACCUAGUUGAAGGAAAAGUGUGGGUUUUACGAUUUUCGUCUUCGUCUUGCGUCGUUCUUUCGGCAUGGGAUGAGCAUUGAAGCGAUCUUUAUGAUCCAUCGUGCUGUUGUGUUUGCAACAAUGAUGUGGCCUAUGAAGCAUCGUUUGGUCUCUUGUAUACGGAAGCUCAUUUGGGCUUGGGUCUUUAUAAGAUCUUUGUUAUGCCCUUGUUAAGCGUUCUCGCUUCUCCUAAACGAUUG
rnacentral:misc_RNA from 1 species